rnacentral:lncRNA from 1 species
UUACUUCCUUUCAUUGUUGUUACUAUAAAUCUAUUGCUUAUAUAUUACCAAAGCUUGGUCCUUGUUACUAAUAUUGCCAAACACUAAUCUUAAUGAGAGCUUAUAGCGCAAACUUGAAAAUAUACUAUGAGUCCCACCAAUCUAUUGGUGGAUUGAUUAAAAACAUAGUUUUAAGUCAUUUUAUUAUACAAAUAUUAAGGUUAUAGAGUCUUUUUGACUAUUUAAUUAUUUAUAAGAAUUUAGAAGUAUUUAUAAGUUACAAAAGUUUUAUUGGAAGAAUAUUCAUAAAAAUAGAAUCUUAGUAAGUCUUGGAGGUAAUUAUCUUAAUUAGUUUAGUAUUUUUAUUUAUUAUUAAGUAUUAAGGAUUAGUUAUUGAAACUAAUGUCUUCAUUGGCCUCCUAUCUAUAUUUAUU